GGAGAGCAAGCUCAGUGGUAGAGCGUUCACCUUGUGUGGAAGGUCCUGGGUUCGAUUCCCAAGCUAUCCU
rfam:Lingula anatina scaffold7, whole genome shotgun sequence.